GAUGAACGCUGGCGGCGUGCCUAAUACAUGCAAGUCGAGCGAACAGACGAGGAGCUUGCUCCUCUGACGUUAGCGGCGGACGGGUGAGUAACACGUGGCUAACCUACCUAUAAGACUGGGAUAACUUCGGGAAACCGGAGCUAAUACCGGAUAAUAUAUUGAACCGCAUGGUUCAAUAGUGAAAGACGGUUUUGCUGUCACUUAUAGAUGGAACCGCGCCGCAUUAGCUAGUUGGUAGGGUAACGGCUUACCAAGGCGACGAUGCGUAGCCGACCUGAGAGGGUGAUCGGCCACACUGGAACUGAGACACGGUCCAGACUCCUACGGGAGGCAGCAGUAGGGAAUCUUCCGCAAUGGGCGAAAGCCUGACGGAGCAACGCCGCGUGAGUGAUGAAGGUCUUCGGAUCGUAAAACUCUGUUAUUAGGGAAGAACAAAUGUGUAAGUAACUAUGCACGUCUUGACGGUACCUAAUCAGAAAGCCACGGCUAACUACGUG
rnacentral:rRNA from 1 species